AGCAAAGUGACGGCGUGCUCUGCAGCGAAGACAGUGGGGGGGCGAUCAGCGACAGCUGUGCGACCACCGUGGCCGACUGCGGACCUUCUUACUCUGUCGCCCGCGCUCUGGCGUCCGCGCAUCGAUGGACGUGAGAAGACGCUGAGCUGAACAGGGUUUUGUCAGCUACUAUAUCGGUGAAGCGCUGUCUUGUCACAGAAACGCAGA